rnacentral:rRNA from 1 species
UACGUAGGGGCCUAACGUUGUCCGGAUUUAUUGGGCGUAAAGAGCUCGUAGGCGGUUCGGUAAGUCAGGUGUGAAAUCUCCACGCUCAACGUGGAGGCGCCACGUGAGACUGCUGUGACUCGAGUCCGGUAGGGGAGCGUGGAAUUCCCGGUGUAGCGGUGAAAUGCGCAGAGAUCGGGAGGAACACCCGUAGCGAAGGCGGCGCUCUGGGCCGGUACUGACGCUGAGGAGCGAAAGCGUGGGGAGCAAACAGG